rnacentral:rRNA from 1 species
GACGAACGCUGGCGGCGCGCUUAACACAUGCAAGUCGAACGGAAAGGCCUGCUUUCCCUUGUGGAUUGCGGGUACUCGAGUGGCGAACGGGUGAGUAACACGUGAGUGAUCUGCCCCCAACUUGGGUAUAAGCCUGGGAAACUGGGUCUAAUUCCCGAUAGGACUGCAGGGUGGUGCCUGUGGUGGAAAACGAUUUUCUAGUGGUUGGGGAUGAGCUCGCGGCCUAUCAGCUUGUUGGUGGGGUAAUGGCCUACCAAGGCGGCGACGGGUAGCCGGCCUGGGAGGGUGGACGGCCACAUUGGGACUGAGAUACGGCCCAGACUCAUACGGGAGGCAGCAGUGGGGAAGAGUGCACAAUGGGCGGAAGCCUGAUGCAGCGACGCCGCGUGGGGGAUGACGGCCUUCGGGUUGUAAACUCCUUUCGGCCGCGAGGAAGCCACCUGGUUGGAAGGGUGGUGACGGUAGUGGUAGAAGAAGCACCGGCUAACUACGUG